rnacentral:rRNA from 1 species
GACAGAGGGUGCAAACGUUGUUCGGAAUUACUGGGCGUAAAGCGCGUGUAGGCUGCUCGGAAAGUCGGAUGUGAAAGCCCUGGGCUCAACCUAGGAAGUGCAUUCGAAACUUCCGAGCUGGAGUGCUGGAGAGGAAGGCGGAAUUCUCGGUGUAGAGGUGAAAUUCGUAGAUAUCGAGAGGAACACCGGUGGCGAAGGCGGCCUUCUGGACAGUAACUGACGCUGAGACGCGAAAGCGUGGGAGCAAACAGG